UACGGGGGGGGCAAGCGUUGUUCGGAAUUACUGGGCGUAAAGGGUUCGUAGGUGGCCAACUAAGUCAGACGUGAAAUCCCUCAGCUUAACUGGGGAACUGCGUCUGAGACUGGAUGGCUUGAGUGCAGGAGAGGAACGCGGAAUUCCGGGUGUAGCGGUGGAAUGCGUAGAGAUCCGGAAGAACACCGGUGGCGAAGGCGGUCUGCUGGGCAGUUGCUGACACUGAGGCGCGACAGCGUGGGGAGCAAACAGG
rnacentral:rRNA from 1 species